rnacentral:rRNA from 1 species
UACAGAGGAGGCAAGCGUUGUUCGGAAUCACUGGGCUUAAAGCGCGUGUAGGCGGCCAUGCAAGUACUUUGUGAAAUCCCUCGGCUCAACCGGGGAAUUGCUUGGUAUACUGCAGGGCUUGAGGCGGGUAGGGGUGGUUGGAACUCUAGGUGGAGCGGUGAAAUGCGUAGAUAUCUAGAGGAACGCCUGUGGCGAAAGCGGAGCACUGGGCCCGUCCUGACGCUAAGACGCGAAAGCGUGGGUAGCAAACGGG